ensembl:snRNA U2 U2 spliceosomal RNA
GUCGCUUCUCAGCCUUUCGGCUAGGAUCAAGUUCUGUUGAUCAACAGAUCAAGAUCUGUUCUUCAUGGUGAAAUAGCUGAUGCGUCCUCUAGCCAAAGACAAUACAUCACAUGGGUCUUCGGAAUUAGGAGAUGGAACAGGAGCCUACCGUACCCACUCCACUCAUUGGCCUGGUGUUGCAGGACCAUUACUUCAGUGUGGAGAAU